GACAGGAUUCCGUACUCUGUUGUUGUUGCUCGAAGGAAGAAAGCUCCCGGUGCGAUUUGUAUCAUCCCGUUUCUUCUAUUUGUUUAUCGGAUCUGUUUAUUUAUUUGUUUAUUUAUCCUGUAACCAUCUCGAGGAUUCUGUCCGUUGCAUCCGCCAGAAUCUUCCAAACCUUAUCGGCUAAAACACACACUGUCCACGGAUCAGAUAUCUAGUAAACCUGCCGGCCACCACGCACACAAAGAGACGUACUGCGCCAGCGGAAAGAAGCAGAUGGAAACGGUGGCAAGGGGAAAAAGGAAAGAAAAUAAAAGAAAGAAGCACACAACACACCAAGAAAAAGAAAAAAAAAAGAAAAAGAAAGAAAAAAACUCCCCCCCAAAGAGCCAUCUCGUUACCAGGCCC
rnacentral:sRNA from 1 species